CUCUGGUGUUCGGGUUGUGUCGCCAGACGCAUUGCCCGGUAGCUAAGUUCGGAAUCGAUAACCGCUGAAAGCAUCUAAGCGGGAAGCGAGCCCUGAGAUGAGUCUUCCCUGAUACUUUAAGUAUCCUAAAGGGUUGUUCGAGACUAGAACGUUGAUAGGCAGGGUGUGUAAGCGCUGUGAGGCGUUGAGCUAACCUGUACUAAUUGCCCGUGAGGCUUAACCAUACAACACCCAAAGGGUUUUG
rnacentral:rRNA from 1 species